rnacentral:rRNA from 1 species
GGUCGAGCGGAAUGAUGAGAGCUUGCUCUCUGAUUUUAGCGGCGGACGGGUGAGUAACACGUGGGCAACCUGCCCUACAGAUGGGGAUAACUCCGGGAAACCGGGGCUAAUACCGAAUAAUCAGUUUGUCCGCAUGGACAAACUCUGAAAGACGGUUUCGGCUGUCACUGUAGGAUGGGCCCGCGGCGCAUUAGCUAGUUGGUGGGGUAAUGGCCUACCAAGGCAACGAUGCGUAGCCGACCUGAGAGGGUGAUCGGCCACACUGGGACUGAGACACGGCCCAGACUCCUACGGGAGGCAGCAGUAGGGAAUCUUCCACAAUGGACGAAAGUCUGAUGGAGCAAUGCCGCGUGAGCGAAGAAGGUUUUCGGAUCGUAAAGCUCUGUUGUAAGGGAAGAACACGUACGGGAGUAACUGCCCGUGCCAUGACGGUACCUUAUUAGAAAGCCACGGCUAACUACGUGCCAGCAGCCGCGGUAAUACGUAGGUGGCAAGCGUUGUCCGGAAUUAUUGGGCGUAAAGCGCGCGCAGGCGGUUCUUUAAGUCUGAUGUGAAAGCCCACGGCUCAACCGUGGAGGGUCAUUGGAAACUGGAGAACUUGAGUACAGAAGAGGAAAGCGGAAUUCCACGUGUAGCGGUGAAAUGCGUAGAGAUGUGGAGGAACACCAGUGGCGAA